rnacentral:rRNA from 1 species
GCUGGCGGCGUGCCUAACACAUGCAAGUCGAACGAAGCAACCGGGGCUUGCUCUGGUUGACUUAGUGGCGGACGGGUGAGUAAUGCGUGAGCAACCUGCCUUUCAGAGGGGGACAACAGUUGGAAACGACUGCUAAUACCGCAUAACGUAUCGAGGGGGCAUCCUCUUGAUACCAAAGGAGCAAUCCGCUGAAAGAUGGGCUCACGUCUGAUUAGUUAGUUGGCAGGGUAACGGCCUACCAAGACUGCGAUCAGUAGCCGGACUGAGAGGUUGAACGGCCGCAUUGGGACUGAGAUACGGCCCAGACUCCUACGGGAGGCAGCAGUGGGGAAUAUUGGGCAAUGGGCGAAAGCCUGACCCAGCAACGCCGCGUGAAGGAAGAAGGUCUUCGGAUUGUAAACUUCUUUUAUGAGGGACGAAGGACGUGACGGUACCUCAUGAAUAAGCCACGGCUAACUACGUGCCAGCAGCCGCGGUAAUACGUAGGUGGCAAGCGUUAUCCGGAUUUACUGGGUGUAAAGGGCGCGUAGGCGGGAGAGCAAGUCAGGUGUGAAAUCCAUGGGCCUAACCCAUGAACUGCACUUGAAACUGU